rnacentral:rRNA from 1 species
UGCAGUCGACGGCAGCACGGGUGCUUGCACCUGGUGGCGAGUGGCGAACGGGUGAGUAAUACAUCGGAACAUGUCCUGUAGUGGGGGAUAGCCCGGCGAAAGCCGGAUUAAUACCGCAUACGAUCUACGGAUGAAAGCGGGGGACCUUCGGGCCUCGCGCUAUAGGGUUGGCCGAUGGCUGAUUAGCUAGUUGGUGGGGUAAAGGCCUACCAAGGCGACGAUCAGUAGCUGGUCUGAGAGGACGACCAGCCACACUGGGACUGAGACACGGCCCAGACUCCUACGGGAGGCAGCAGUGGGGAAUUUUGGACAAUGGGCGAAAGCCUGAUCCAGCAAUGCCGCGUGUGUGAAGAAGGCCUUCGGGUUGUAAAGCACUUUUGUCCGGAAAGAAAUCCUUGGUUCUAAUAUAGCCGGGGGAUGACGGUACCGGAAGAAUAAGCACCGGCUAACUACGUGCCAGCAGCCGCGGUAAUACGUAGGGUGCAAGCGUUAAUCGGAAUUACUGGGCGUAAAGCGUGCGCAGGCGGUUUGCUAAGACCGAUGUGAAAUCCCCGGGCUCAACCUGGGAACUGCAUUGGUGACUGGCAGGCUAGAGUAUGGCAGAGGGGGGUAGAAUUCCACGUGUAGCAGUGAAAUGCGUAGAGAUGUGGAGGAAUACCGAUGG